rnacentral:rRNA from 1 species
UACGUAGGGGGCAAGCGUUGUCCGGAAUCAUUGGGCGUAAAGAGCGCGUAGGCGGCCCGAUAAGUCCGCUGUGAAAGUCAAGGGCUCAACCCUUGAAUGCCGGUGGAUACUGUCGCGCUAGAGUCCGGAAGAGGCGAGUGGAAUUCCUGGUGUAGCGGUGAGAUGCGCAGAUAUCAGGAGGAACACCAAUGGCGAAGGCAGCUCGCUGGGACGGUACUGACGCUGAGGCGCGAAAGCGUGGGGAACAAACAGG